rnacentral:rRNA from 1 species
UACGUAGGGUGCAAGCGUUGUUCGGAUUUAUUGGGCGUAAAGAGCUCGUAGGCGGUCAGUCGCGUCGAUCGUGAAAGCCCGAGGCUCAACCUCGGAAUUGCGGUCGAUACGGGCUGACUAGAGUUCGGUAGGGGAGACUGGAAUUCCUGGUGUAGCGGUGAAAUGCGCAGAUAUCAGGAGGAACACCGGUGGCGAAGGCGGGUCUCUGGGCCGAUACUGACGCUGAGGAGCGAAAGCGUGGGGAGCAAACAGG